rnacentral:rRNA from 1 species
CCUACGUGGUGCUGCAGUGAGGAAUAUUGGUCAAUGGCCGGAAGGCUGAACCAGCCAAGCCGCGUGAAGGACGAAGGUGCCAAGCAUUGUAAACUUCUUUUGUCAAGGGACAAAAUCAGGCUCGAGAGCCUGACCGAGGGUCCUUUAAGAAAAAGCAUCGGCUAACUCCGUGCCAGCAGCCGCGGUAAUACGGAGGAUGCGAGCUUUAUCCGGAUUUAUUGGGUUUAACGGGUUUGUAGUCGGACUGUUAAGUCAGCGGUAAAAGCCCGGGGCUCAACCCCGGCGAGCCGUUUAAACUGGUUGUCUUGAGAUGUCGAGCGGUAUGCGGAAUGCGCAGUGUAGCGGUGAAAUGCUUAGAUAU